rnacentral:rRNA from 1 species
UACGUAGGGUGCGAGCGUUAAUCGGAAUUACUGGGCGUAAAGCGUGCGCAGGCGGUUCGUUGUGUCUGUGGUGAAAGCCCCGGGCUUAACCUGGGAAUGGCAAUGGAAACUGGCGGGCUGGAGUAUGGCAGAGGGGGGUGGAAUUCCGCGUGUAGCAGUGAAAUGCGUAGAGAUGCGGAGGAACACCGAUGGCGAAGGCAGCCCCCUGGGCCAAUACUGACGCUCAGGCACGAAAGCGUGGGGAGCAAACAGG